rnacentral:rRNA from 1 species
AAUCAACGCUGGCGGCGUGCCUCAGACAUGCAAGUCGAACGAUUAAGACUCUCUUCGGAGAGUGUAUAAAGUGGCGCACGGGUGAGUAACACGUAGGUAAUGUACCGAAGGGUGGGGAAUAACUUAGGGAAACUUAAGCUAAUACCGCAUAAUGCAGCGGCUCGACAUCGAGACAGUUGUUAAAGGAGCAAUCCGCCUUUUGAGCAGCCUGCGGCAGAUUAGCUAGUUGGUAAGGUAAUGGCUUACCAAGGCUACGAUCUGUAACCGACCUGAGAGGGUGGUCGGUCACACUGACACUGAAUAACGGGUCAGACUCCUACGGGAGGCAGCAGUCGGGAAUUUUGGGCAAUGGGCGAAAGCCUGACCCAGCAACGCCGCGUGAAGGAUGAAGUAUUUCGGUAUGUAAACUUCGUAAGAAUAGGAAAGUAAUAAAUGACGGUACUAUUUGUAAGGUCCGGCUAACUACGUGCCAGCAGCCGCGGUAAU